rnacentral:rRNA from 1 species
CGCUGUAAACGAUGUCGAUUUGGAGUUUGUUGCCUAGAGUGAUGGGCUCCGAAGCUAACGCGAUAAAUCGACCGCUGGGGAGUACGGCCGCAAGGUUAAAACUCAAAUGAAUUGACGGGGGCCCGCACAAGCGGUGGAGCAUGUGGUUUAAUUCGAUGCAACGCGAAGAACCUUACCUGGUCUUGACAUCCAUAGAAUUCUGCAGAGAUGUGGGAGUGCCUUCGGGAACUAUGAGACAGGUGCUGCAUGGCUGUCGUCAGCUCGUGUUGUGAAAUGUUGGGUUAAGUCCCGCAACGAGCGCAACCCUUAUUCUUUGUUGCCAGCGAUUUGGUCGGGAACUCAAAGGAGACUGCCGUUGAUAAAGCGGAGGAAGGUGGGGACGACGUCAAGUCAUCUUGGCCCUUACGACCAGGGCUACACACGUGCUACAAUGGCGUAUACAAAGGGAAGCGAAGGUGCGAGCUGGAGCGGAUCUCAUAAAGUACGUCUAAGUUCGGAUUGGAGUCUGCAACUCGACUCCAUGAAGUCGGAAUCGCUAGUAAUCGUAGAUCAGAAUGCUACGGUGAAUACGUUCCCGGGCCUUGUACACACCGCCCGUCACACCAUGGGAGUGGGUUGCACCAGAAGUAGAUAGCUUAACCGCGAGGGGGGCGUCUACCACGGUGUGAUUCAUGACUGGGGUGAAGUCGUAACAAGGUAACCA